AACUUUUCGGCUAACACACACGAGGAGCACGUAUAGAGUUUGACUUCCUUGUAAUCAUUUUUGUUUCCAGACAUCAAAUAAGUUUUUUUUUGUAUAGUAACAAAGAAAAAAAAAUAUUAAUCACAAGUCUUUGUGCAGCACUGCAGCCAAACACCACCAAAUUUACGUUGGCCGUUGAAGCACACACCAAACAGGAACUCCUGUAACAAUCCGACCACCAUAGCCAUCAAUAGCCGGAGGCUCCGAUCUUGGUCUCCACAGACCCGUCUCCGCCGCUUGCGACGAACAAGCUCCAUAAUCUUUCAUCGCCGUGGAAGAACGUUCUUUAUUGUGGAAACUUUUUAGUAUUGUAGUCUGACAUCAGAAAGUUUGGAUUUUAUAAAUUUUAGAGAUAAUGAAUUAUGCGAAAUAACAAAAAUUAUUUUUACACACAAUCUCUACCAUAGUAUAAAUAAAACCAUUAUGCAUAAAUCUUAUAAAUACAAUUCAUAUCAAACUAAUUUUUUUUCAUAAAACAAAUAUAAUUAACGAUUGUAAAAUCAUCCGUAAAGAUAUGGGUCCUGCUGCACCCCAAUCCCCAAUUAUGAGUGAUGCUUUUAUCCUCAGCGGCUCACAGCAGCUACUAACUUCACGUGGAGAUAACUUAACCGGCCACAUUACACAUUACAUCCGUGGAAGUCUUAUCUCUUCCCUAGCUACCAGUGGACAAGUCAUUUUUUGUUGUCUACUCUAUCAUCUCAGAAUAAUAACUUAUGUCAACUUUGUUUGGUAGCUGCAAUACUUUCUUUAUAAAGACUAAUGUACAUGACUAUAUGUCCAAGUGGUUUUGCAAAAAGCAAAUAAGAUACUAAUUAUCAAUUUGUAAAGCAUUCAUAAAAAAUGUUAUUCAUCGAUCCAUCCAAUUAAUUCUACAAAUACAUCCAAUUAAUUCUACAAAUAAUAUCAUAAACUAUGCCUGGCAAUGGAGAAAACAUUCUCAAAUACUUAAGAAAUUGUAACAUCUUUUUAAAAUUGUCACUAGUAGUAAAAUACUCGAAUUAAUUUAUAUACUAUCAGAGAGCCUUAUUUUCAAAACAUACUAUUUAUUUGAUUUUUUAAUGGGCAAUUCUCUCAAAUAGACAUUUUUAAGUUUUUGUCACCAAAAUAGCAUUAAAAAAAUAAAAUGACCGAAAUAGCACAUUUUUGUUUUGAAAAUUUUAAUUUUAAUUUUUUAUUUUUUAAAAUUCGAAACCAUAUCCUCAAACCCUAUACUAUAACUCUAAACCCUGAAUUUAGAUUAGUUAACCUUUGAGUAUAAAUGUAUAUUUACCUUUUAAUAAAAUUUAUUUUGGUCAUUUUCUUUCUUAACAUCUAUUUUUGAAAAAAAUAAGGCCACGUGUUUGAUCAAAAAAAAAAAAAAAAACUAAGGCCAUGUAAAAGGGAAUUUCUCUUUUUUAAUUACACACGCCACGAAUCACCGCGGGAAACGUUUUUAUUAUUAUUAUUUUUAGCAGCUGUUUUUAUUAUUAUUUAAAACUCUGCAAUUGUUUCUAACUUUUCGGCUAACACACACGAGGAGCACGUAUAGAGUUUGACUUCCUUGUAAUCAUUUUUGUUUCCAGACAUCAAAUAAGUUUUUUUUUGUAUAGUAACAAAGAAAAAAAAAUAUUAAUCACAAGUCUUUGUGCAGCACUGCAGCCAAACACCACCAAAUUUACGUUGGCCGUUGAAGCACACACCAAACAGGAACUCCUGUAACAAUCCGACCACCAUAGCCAUCAAUAGCCGGAGGCUCCGAUCUUGGUCUCCACAGACCCGUCUCCGCCGCUUGCGACGAACAAGCUCCAUAAUCUUUCAUCGCCGUGGAAGACGAUUUGAACUCAUCUGUGGAAUAAGGUUUAACCAUGAUUGAAACAUUCACGAUUCCACACUUAUCCCCAUAUUCAUCUCUUAACCUAUAGCUCAAGAAAUUCAAAUGACCUUCAGGUGAAUACCUUCCCAUGAAGUCUGACGUUGGGAUCUUAGCUUCUCCUAUCUUCUUCUCGCGUCCAGAACUUGUUCGAAACAACACCUCGAUGUAGAUGAACUGUUCAGUCCCGCUCAUGGGCAU
rnacentral:lncRNA from 1 species